rnacentral:rRNA from 1 species
UGGGGGAUAUUGCACAAUGGGCGAAAGCCUGAUGCAGCGACGCCGCGUGGGGGAUGAAGGCCUUCGGGUUGUAAACUUCUUUUGCUCUGAACAAGGCAUGCCUUUGGGGUGUGUUGAGUGUAGGGGUUGAUUAGCGCCGGCUAACUACGUGCCAGCAGCCGCGGUAAUACGUAGGGCGCGAGCGUUGUCCGGAAUUAUUGGGCGUAAAGGGCUUGUAGGUGGCUGGUUGCGUCUGUCGUGAAAGCUCAUGGCUUAACUGUGGGUUUGCGGUGGGUACGGGCUGGCUUGAGUGCAGUAGGGGAGGCUGGAAUUCCUGGUGUAGCGGUGGAAUGCGCAGAUAUCAGGAGGAAUACCGGUGGCGAAGGCGGGUCUCUGGGCUGUUACUGACGCUGAGGAGCGAAAGUGUGGGGAGCGAACAGG